UACGAAGGGGGCUAGCGUUGCUCGGAAUCACUGGGCGUAAAGGGUGCGUAGGCGGGUCUUUUAAGUCAGGGGUGAAAUCCUGGAGCUCAACUCCAGAACUGCCUUUGAUACUGAAGAUCUUGAGUUCGGGAGAGGUGAGUGGAACUGCGAGUGUAGAGGUGAAAUUCGUAGAUAUUCGCAAGAACACCAGUGGCGAAGGCGGCUCACUGGCCCGGUACUGACGCUGAGGCACGGAAAGCGUGGGGAGCAAACAGG
rnacentral:rRNA from 1 species